rnacentral:lncRNA from 1 species
CGAUUAUGCUCAUCAUGACAAUAAGAUCGUGCAGACCUGACCGAUGUAUAAAAGAGUGUGUAUGCCGAAGUGUGUUGUUGUGAUACUAGUGCAGUGAUUCGUGCGUUACGGCAUAGAUACUGUUAAAAUAAAAAUUAAUAAAGAAUAAAAUAUCAGUUUAAUACAAAUAGUAAAUAUAGUCUAUACUAUAGACAAAUACUUUUAAAAAAUAAAACUAUAAUGAAAAAAAUUUAAACGUUUCAACAAAUAUAUUAAACCUUAUUCAAGAGAAGUCACAUAUCAUACAAAUGAACGAUUAAAAUUAU